rnacentral:rRNA from 1 species
AUUGAACGCUGGCGGCAGGCCUAACACAUGCAAGUCGAGCGAGCGGCGGACGGGUGAGUAAUGUAUGGGGUCCGCCCGAUAGAGGUGGAUAACUACUGGAAUCGGUAGCUAAUACCGCAUACUAUCCGAUAACCCAUAUGGGGUUAGCUAGUAGGUGAGGUAAUGGCUCACCUAGGCGACGAUCCCUAGCUGGUCUGAGAGGAUGAUAAGCCACCCUGGGCCUGAGACACGGCCCAGACCCCACCGGAGGCAGCGGUGGGGAAAAUUGCACAAUGUGCGCAAGCCUGAUGCGGCCAUGCCGAGUGUAUGAAAAAGGCCCUAGGGUUGGAAAGUACUUUCAGUCGGGAGGCGUUACCGACAGAAGAAGCACCGGCUAACUCCGUGCCAGCAGCCGCGGUAAUAC